UGCUUUAUUCAGAGGUUACUAGUUUUCUUCAGAGCACAUGCAGAUUAAAACAAAUGAAGUUGCUAACAGUUCUUUCACAUUUAGAGGUUUGGUGAACCAGUCAUAAACGUCCCGUGGUGCUGAAAAUAAAUGGGAGAAAAAAGUGUCCGGCCCCUCCCUUGCCUCACUCAGACCCUCAGCAGCAUUGCCAGGCCACAGCCCAGCCUCACCCAGUAGAAGCCCUGUGUCAGGUGCUGCCACAAUUCCACAUGGUGAUUUUUAUGUUUUCAAGGAAAAGAGGAGUUUGCAAAGUUACUAACAAGACAGCCAAAACAAUAUAAUAAGGACUGAAACACAGAGCCCUCCAACGCAUGGUUUGGAAAAAACUGGAGAAACCAAAACCUAAUUGAGAUCAUCACCUUGAGGUAAACCAUCCUCAGCACCUUCUACUACUUCUCACAUGCCAUGAAAAUUUUGAAAUCUGAGGGAAAGCCUAGCAUAUAUCUCUGAAUCUAUUCCUGUAUAUCUAGAGAGAGGAACAGCAGAGGCCCAGGAUGCAAUGUUGGCUGAGCCAUCCUGCCACCUGUUGGCAGCUCAGCAGCAGCUCAG